AUGUUGAGCGUUUUAUUGCUCGCUGCACUACAUGUCAAAAAGCUAAGUCACGACUCAAUCCUCAUGGAAACAGACCCUCGUGGUCAGGAGUUCGCUGACGUUUUUCCACAAGACGUGCCACCGGGAUUACCGCCUAUUCGAGGGAUUGAGCAUCAGAUUGACUUAAUUCCCGGUGCUUCACUGCCAAACCGUGCACCAUACCAUACCAAUCCAGAGGAGACGAAGGAGAUUAUGCGUCAAGUACAAGAGCUUCUCGACAAAGGAGGCAUUAAUAAUAUUACUAUUCGUUAUCGUCAUCCUAUUCCUAGGCUAGAUGAUAUGCUUGAUGAAUUGAGUGGCUCUACAAUAUUCUCCAAAGUUGAUUUGCGUAGUGGCUACCAUCAAAUUCGUAUGAAAUUGGGAGAUGAAUGGAAAACAGCAUUUAAAACUAAGUUUGGAUUAUAUGAGUGGUUAGUCAUGCCUUUUGGAUUAACUAAUGCACCUAGUACUUUCAUGAGAUUAAUGAACGAAGUUUUACGUGUUUUCAUUGGACGAUUUGUGGUAGUUUACUUUGAUGACAUAUUGAUUUAUAGCAGAUCUUUGGAGGAACAUUUGGAACAUUUACGUGCUGUUUUUAUUGCUCUACGUGAUGCACGUUUGUUUGGUAACCUUGGGAAGUGCACCUUUUGCACCGACCGAGUAUCUUUUCUUGGCUAUGUUGUUACUCCACAGGGAAUUGAAGUUGAUAAAGCCAAGAUUGAAGCUAUUGAGAGUUGGCCGCAGCCCAAAACGGUCACACAAGUGAGGAGUUUUCUUGGCCUCGCUGGAUUCUAUAGGCGUUUUGUGAGAGAUUUCAGCACCAUUGCUGCAGCUCUCAACGAGCUUACAAAGAAGGAUGUGCCUUUUGUUUGGGGUACCGCACAGGAAGAAGCCUUCACGGUAUUGAAAGAUAAGUUGACACAUGCUCCUUUACUCCAACUUCCUGAUUUUAAUAAGACUUUUGAGCUUGAAUGUGAUGCUAGUGGAAUUGGAUUAGGAGGUGUGUUAUUACAAGAUGGCAAACCUGUUGCAUACUUUUCUGAAAAAUUGAGUGGGCCUAGUCUGAAUUAUUCUACUUAUGAUAAAGAAUUAUAUGCUCUUGUUCGGACUUUAGAAACAUGGCAACAUUAUUUAUGGCCCAAAGAAUUUGUUAUACAUUCUGAUCAUGAAUCUUUGAAACAUAUUAAAAGUCAAGCUAAACUGAAUCGUAGACAUGCUAAAUGGGUUGAAUUUAUUGAGACUUUCCCUUAUGUCAUUAAACACAAGAAGGGAAAAGAAAAUGUUAUUGCUGAUGCAUUGUCUCGUCGCUAUACUAUGCUUUCACAACUUGACUUCAAAAUAUUUGGUUUAGAGACCAUCAAAGAUCAAUAUGUGCAUGAUGCUGAUUUUAAAGAUGUAAUGCAGAAUUGUAAAGAAGGAAGAAUGUGGAACAAGUUUGUCGUUAACGAUGGAUUUGUGUUUCGUGCUAACAAGCUAUGCAUUCCAGCUAGCUCCGUUCGUCUUUUGUUGUUGCAGGAGGCGCAUGGAGGAGGAUUAAUGGGACACUUUGGCGUGAAGAAGACGGAGGACGUACUUGCUACACAUUUCUUUUGGCCAAAGAUGAGACGGGAUGUUGAGCGGCUGUUUUGA
rnacentral:rRNA from 1 species